rnacentral:rRNA from 1 species
CCUACGGGAGGCAGCAGUGAGGAAUAUUGGUCAAUGGACGCACGUCUGAACCAGCCAUGCCGCGUGCAGGAAGACGGCUCUAUGAGUUGUAAACUGCUUUUGUACGAGGGUAAACGCAGCUACGUGUAUCUGUCUGAAAGUAUCCUACGAAUAAGGAUCGGCUAACCCCGUGCCAGCAGCCGCGGUAAUUCGGAGGGUUCAAGUGUUAUCCGGAUUUUUUGGGUUUAAAGGGUGCGUAGGCGGUCGGAUAAGUUAGAGGUGAAAUCCCGCGGAUCAACUUCGGAAUUGCCUCUGAUACUGUGCGGCUAGAGAGGAGGUGCGGUAGGCGGAAUGUAUGGUGUAGCGGUGAAAUGCUUAGAGAUCAUACAGAACACCGAUUGCGAAGGCAGCUUACCAAGCUACUUCUGACGUUGAGGCACGAAAGCGUGGGGAGCAAACAGGAUUAGAUACCCUUGUAGUC